ACUCGGGGGACUGCUGACUAUAACCAUUUUUCAAAACAGAGGAAGGUUGCGGCAAUAACAGGUCUGUGAUGCCCUCAGAUGUCCCGGGCUGCCCACGUGCUACAAUGAGUGGCGCAAUGUGUUAAUGUUUUAAGGGAUAAGCGUGCGGCCAGUAGAACGUCGGCAAUUGCCCUGGCGUCUUUUACCGCACGAUUAUCAGCCUUCCCUUAACAGGGCGGGCAACCUUUUCAAAAUACCGGUUUGAUGUUAAAGUAUAGAGUCGUUUUUUUUGGAUGGUGGUUUACGAACCAAUACCAUCCGCAACUGCUCGCGAGUUUGUGGUUCUGGUGACUCAUGGUGGGGACCGAUGUUUGUAAUUGUUUGUCGCGUGUCAACUAGGAAUGCCUUGUACU
rnacentral:rRNA from 1 species